rfam:Trichobilharzia regenti genome assembly, scaffold: TRE_scaffold0013750
AUCCAGUUGACGAGUCCCAAAUAGGACGAAAUGCACAUGCUGGAU